rnacentral:misc_RNA from 1 species
UCUACUUCCGUUUACUUUGUUACCACUUUGCCACUUUCCCACGAUUGUCGAUUAGAUCAUAAGUCGUGCAGUCGUGAGGAAAUCGUUUUUAACUUGUUUUUCUUCGGCUCGGGUUACUGUGUUCAGAGGAGUCCAAUAAUUAAUGCAUAAGGCAGGGUAUUGUGUCAAUUUCACGUGUUACCGAUUCAGAUGAAACCCAUCCCAGUGAACUACUGAGAGGUCCAAAGAAAUCUGAAUUUUGAAAGAAAAUGGACCGUGUAAGUAAACACCACAAACGUCACCGGGGGGCAAGUCCAUCUGACAAUGAAAGUCGGAGUAAAAAGCACCACAAACAUCACCACGAGAAAGAGAAGUCUGGCAGACACAACUCCAGCGAUGAGGAAGACGACAGACGAUCCCGGCGUCAUAAAAAGCAGCACCACCACAGAGAUAGAGAUUACGACCCGGACAGGAAAAUUAAACAAGAGAAGGACGAGGAGAAUUUCAGUCAACAGCAGAGGGAAAGAUCUCAGCAUGACCACCAGCGGAGGGAGAACCGGAGGGACAGAGACCGCCAGGGUGGAGAUUUCGGAAUGAAUACAGAGACAAAAGUGAAAACAGAGGAAGGGGAGGAGGACAAAACAGAAGAGGAGAAACAGAAACCGAACUUUGAACUUUCUGGCAAGCUGACAGAGGAUACAAACACCUUUAGGGGAGUAGUCAUCAAGUACAAUGAACCACCAGAGGCUAUGAUGCCGAAACGUAAGUGGCGACUGUACCCUUUUAAGGGAGAGACAUCAUUGCCAGUCCUGCACAUUCAUAGGCAAAGUGCGUUCUUGCUCGGUCGUGACCGUCGAAUAGCGGACAUUCCUGUAGACCACCCGUCUUGUUCCAAGCAGCAAGCUGCUCUUCAGUUUCGAGCCAUGCCGUACACCAGACCUGAUGGCUCGUCAGGUCGUAGAGUCAGGCCAUACAUCAUAGACCUUGAGUCGGCAAACGGCACUUAUGUCAAUGGAGAAAAGAUAGAAGCCAAACGAUAUUACGAACUGAAAGAGAAAGAUGUGAUAAAAUUUGGUUUCAGCACUCGAGAGUAUGUAGUGCUGCAUGACAGUGUGGAUACUUCAGAACUUGGUGUUGGAGAGGACAUGGAAGAAGCGUAAAAGUGUUUGAAUGUGUUUGUGACAUCUUUGGCUUCUGAUGACAGCUUCUUUUCCAGACAUUGAUUAGAAACCUGCAGAAAUCUAAUGGAACUCCUGUGUAUGGGUACUAGAAUUUGAUCAAGAGGAACUUCUGGGUCACUCAUCUGUGUCAGAUGUGUGGAGUGGAUCCAUAGCAAGUCUGACUCUUCACUGUCAAAAUGAAACACGGUACAUCACUUUCUUUUGAACAAUGUCAUCUGCUGUACCUGCUUUAAUCAGAGUUUUGACUGCCCCUCCCUUUUUAUCCACUGUGAGUUUGAGACAAUAUUUUGCUUUUGUUUCAUAUUUUUUCUGUAUGUUGAUGGCAGGGGACAUGAAAGAAGAUGGCCGGGGUACAGUUGUUGUUAUGGGGAAGAGGAAGGGGGUUUGGUUGAUUGUCUCCAUGCUAGAGCAGCUGGAAUUGGAAAAAGAACUACCAGGCCGUAAUCAGGCAAGGUUGGUGGUCAAGUGUUAUCGUCAAAGUUAGAUCUGUUUGGUGGCAAUGAAAAUAGGCUACUCUGCACCAUGGGUAUUCAUUGUUAUCAUCAUUAUGUGCCACAUCUGUGACAGACAUCGCAGAUCAUGGUUCUCCUUUAUUAUUAUUAUUACGAUGGAAAAUGUUCUUUUCCUUUGCAAGUCAAGAAAUUAAGCACUGCUAUGAUAUAAUUUGAUGUGUUGAUGCUGUAAUGCUGUGUAAAUGAUUUUUUAGCUUUUGUGUUUUUGUGAACCAGGGAGUGCUUGGUUUAGUUUUGUCUUAGUGAUUAGUGUGUUAAUGAAGUCAUUUCACUUUCUAAAGUGAGCAGGCUCUUAAUUAGGCAAAUGAAACCUCAGUUCAAAAUAUUUUUUUAAUAUAUUUUUUUUUAAAGGGGAUUAAGUAAGGUAAAAAUAGAGCAUGUCAAAACAAUAUUUAGUAAA